GACAGAGGGUGCAAACGUUGUUCGGAAUUACUGGGCGUAAAGCGCGUGUAGGCGGCCCUGCAAGUCGGAUGUGAAAUCCCACGGCUCAACCGUGGAAGUGCAUUCGAAACUGCAGGGCUAGAGUCCUGGAGAGGAAGGUGGAAUGCUUGGUGUAGGGGUGAAAUUCGUAGAUAUCAAGCGGAACACCGGUGGCGAAGGCGGCCUUCUGGACAGUGACUGACGCUGAGACGCGAAAGCGUGGGGAGCAAACAGG
rnacentral:rRNA from 1 species